GAUGAACGCUGGCGGCGUGCCUAAUACAUGCAAGUCGAGCGAACGGACGAGAAGCUUGCUUUUCUGAUGUUAGCGGCGGACGGGUGAGUAACACGUGUAUCACCUACCUAUAAGACUGGGAUAACUUCGGGAAACCGGAGCUAAUACCGGAUAAUAUUUUGAACCGCAUGGUUCAAAAGUGAAAGACGGUCUUGCUGUCACUUCUAGAUGGAUCCGCGCUGCAUUAGCUAGUUGGUAAGGUAACGGCUUACCAAGGCAACGAUGCGUGGACGACGUGAGAGGGUGAUCGGCCACACUGGAGCGUAGACAGGGUCCAGACUACUAAGGGAGGGAGCAGUAGGGAAUCGGCCGCAGUGGGCGAAAGCCUGACGGAGCAACGGCGCGUGAGUGACGAAGGCCUUCGGAUCGUAAAACUCGGUUAUUAGGGAAGAACAGAUGUGUAAGUAACUGUGCACAGCGUGACGGUACCGAAUCAGAAAGCCACGGCUAACUACGUG
rnacentral:rRNA from 1 species